UGCUAGACGAGGUUUGAUCCUGGCUCAGAUUGAACGCUGGCGGAAUGCUUUACACAUGCAAGUCGAGCGGCAGCGCGGGGGCAACCCUGGCGGCGAGCGGCGAACGGGUGAGUAACAUAUCGGAACGUACCCAGUCUGGGGGAUAACUAUCCGAAAGGAUAGCUAAUACCGCAUACGUCCUGAGGGAGAAAGCGGGGGAUCGCAAGACCUCGCGCGAUUGGAGCGGCCGAUAUCGGAUUAGCUAGUUGGUGGGGUAAAGGCUCACCAAGGCGACGAUCCGUAGCGGGUCUGAGAGGACGACCCGCCACACUGGAACUGAGACACGGUCCAGACUCCUACGGGAGGCAGCAGUGGGGAAUUUUGGACAAUGGGGGCAACCCUGAUCCAGCCAUUCCGCGUGAGUGAAGAAGGCCUUCGGGUUGUAAAGCUCUUUCAGCAGGAACGAAACGGUGGUCCCUAAUACGGACUACUAAUGACGGUACCUGAAGAAGAAGCACCGGCUAACUACGUG
rnacentral:rRNA from 1 species